rnacentral:rRNA from 1 species
AACGAACGCUGGCGGCGUGCCUAACACAUGCAAGUCGAGCGGGAAAGUUCCCUUCGGGGAGCGAGUACAGCGGCGAACGGGUGAGUAACACGUAGGCAACCUACCCCGGAGACCGGGAUAACCUGUCGAAAGGCGGGCUAAUACCGGAUAAGACCACGAGGGCCUCGGCCCUUGAGGUAAAAGGUGGCCUCUGCUUGCAAGCUAUCACUCCAGGAUGGGCCUGCGCGCCAUUAGCUAGNGGUGAGGUAACGGCUCACCAAGGCGAAGAUGGCUAGCUGGUCUGAGAGGAUGGCCAGCCACACUGGGACUGAGAUACGGCCCAGACUCCUACGGGAGGCAGCAGUGGGGAAUCUUGCGCAAUGGGCGAAAGCCUGACGCAGCGACGCCGCGUGGGUGAUGAAGGCC